rnacentral:miRNA from 1 species
AUUGGGUUGGCCAAAAGCUGUUAUGGAAAAACAGGAACGAACUUUCUGGCCAACCAA